CCUACGGGGUGCACCAGUAGGGAAUCUUCGGCAAUGGACGAAAGUCUGACCGAGCAACGCCGCGUGAGUGAAGAAGGUUUUCGGAUUGUAAAACUCUGUUGUUAGAGAAGAACAAGUAGGAGAGUAACUGCUCUUACCUUGACGGUAUCUAACCAAAAAGCCACGGCUAACUACGUGCCAGCAGCCGCGGUAAUACGUAGGUGGCAAGCGUUGUCCGGAUUUAUUGGGCGUAAAGCGAGCGCAGGCGGCCUUUUAAGUCUGAUGUGAAAGCCCUCGGCUCAACCGAGGAAGGUCAUUGGAAACUGGAGGACUUGAGUGCAGGAGAGGAGAGUGGAAUUCCAUGUGUAGCGGUGAAAUGCGUAGAUAUAUGGAGGAACACCAGUGGCGAAGGCGACUCUCUGGCCUGUAACUGACGCUGAGGCUCGAAAGCGUGGGGAGCAAACAGGAUUAGAUACCCUGGUAGUC
rnacentral:rRNA from 1 species